ACUCGUGGGAACUGAAAGAAGAGUGCAGCGAUUACCAACUCGCUGAUUUAAAUCUAUAGCAACGCCGAAUCCUUUUCUUCGAAUUAAAUCUAUAUGGUCAAUUAAAACAGUUUCCUCUGUAGCAGCUAAAUCCAGUCUUUUUGGAAGGACUAAGUCUUGGCUGUUGAUAACUAAAUUACUUUUGAGAUGUUCAUAGUUGAACUUUUCAUCGCUGGCAUGUUGAUCAAUUAUAAACAAAUUGUUUCCAUGAACAACCACUAUGAAUCCUCUAUUGAAUUGACCAACAACCCUCAUUCUUAAAAAAUCGGCUUUAUGUACAGUUAGAUUCAAAUGAUCUUCCUGA